AUGAACGCUAGCGACAGGCUUAACACAUGCAAGUCGAGGGGUAACAGGGUAGCAAUACCGCUGACGACCGGCGCACGGGUGAGUAACGCGUAUGCAACCUGCCUAUAACUGGGGAAUAGCUCCCUGAAAGGGGAAUUAACACCGCAUAACACUAUUGAUUCGCAUGGAUUAGUAGUUAAAUGUAGCGAUACAGGUUAUAGAUGGGCAUGCGUGACAUUAGCUAGUUGGUGAGGUAACGGCUCACCAAGGCUACGAUGUCUAGGGGUUCUGAGAGGAAGGUCCCCCACACUGGUACUGAGACACGGACCAGACUCCUACGGGAGGCAGCAGUGAGGAAUAUUGGUCAAUGGGCGCAAGCCUGAACCAGCCAUGUCGCGUGCAGGAAGACUGCCCCCUAUGGGUUGUAAACUGUCUUUUAUAGUAGAAGAAACACAUCUACGUGUAGAUGUCUGCCAGUAUACUAUGAAUAAGCAUCGGCUAACUCCGUGCCAGCAGCUGC
rnacentral:rRNA from 1 species